UAAGGAAUAUUGGUCAAUGGGCGCAAGCCUGAACCAGCCAUGCCGCGUGCAGGAAGACGGCCCUAUGGGUUGUAAACUGCUUUCGUCAGGGAAUAAACCCCCGCUCGUGAGCGGGGCUGAAGGUACCUGAAGAAUAAGCAUCGGCUAACUCCGUGCCAGCAGCCGCGGUAAUACGGAGGAUGCAAGCGUUAUCCGGAUUCGUUGGGUUUAAAGGGUGCGCAGGCGGAUUGGUAAGUCAGGGGUGAAAUCCCACAGCUCAACUGUGGAACUGCCUUUGAUACUGUCAGUCUAGAGUAUAGUUGAAGUGGGCGGAAUGUGUCAUGUAGCGGUGAAAUGCUUAGAUAUGACACAGAACACCGAUCACGAAGGCAGCUCGCUAAGCUAUAACUGACGCUCAUGCACGAAAGCGUGGGGAUCAAACAG
rnacentral:rRNA from 1 species